AUAUUGUGUCCUAUUUGGAGCUUAGACUCUCUCUUUAGAAAAAUCCUCUUUUUACCACUCUCCCCUCUCUCCAUACACCAGUCACUAGAGCUUUUCUGUUCCUUGAAUACACACAGCCUCAGCUGGGAUGCUCAUCUCCGCAUGCCUCAGGGCUAGAACCCAGGCAGAACAAAACAGCCUCAGAGACCGUGCUCAUACCUGGGUGUCCCCUUGCCUCUCUUGCUGCUAUUCUGUGAUCUCUGUUGGAUAGGGAGCAGUUCCUGGCUCUGUCGAAUUUCAUUAGGUGCAAGGUGCAGGGCCAGCCUGCAAGGUGCAGGAGAGCAACUGGACCAAUGAGGGUUUCCAUGCCAACCUGAAGAGGUUGGUCUUUAUUCUCAGGACUAGUGCCAUGUUUUUCACGUUUUUGUGCUUUUUCUGGUGGUGACUUCACUGUUUAAAAUGGCCCCCCAGCUAGCACUGAAGCUCUGUCUAGCAUUCUCAAACACAAGGAGACCGUGAUGUACCUGCCGUGGCAUGAAUUACAGUGCUGCUGACCAUGAGUUCCAUGUGAAUGAAUCAAUCAUAUAAAUUUAACAAGGUGUUCCUAAACAGAAACACAUGGAAAACAAGGUUCAUAUUGAUCAGCUAACAAAAAUGUUUGAC
rnacentral:lncRNA from 10 species